rnacentral:rRNA from 1 species
CUCAGAACUUAAGGAAUUGACGGGGCCCGCACAAGCGGUGGAGCAUGUGGUUUAAUUCGAUGAUACGCGAGGAACCUUACCUGGGCUCAAAUGUAUGUUGACGUAUUCUGAAAGGGAUACUUCUUCGGACAAUAUACAAGGUGCUGCAUGGUUGUCGUCAGCUCGUGCCGUGAGGUGUCGGGUUAAGUCCCAUAACGAGCGCAACCCCUAUCAUUAGUUGCCAUCAGGUCAAGCUGGGGACUCUAAUGAAACUGCCUACGCAAGUAGUGAGGAAGGUGGGGAUGACGUCAAAUCAGCACGGCCCUUACGUCCAGGGCUACACACGUGCUACAAUGGCCGAUACAGAGGGCAGCUACCUGGUGACAGGAUGCAAAUCUCCAAAGUCGGUCUCAGUUCGGAUCGGAGUCUGCAACCCGACUCCGUGAAGUUGGAUUCGCUAGUAAUCGUGAAUCAGAAUGUCACGGUGAAUACGUUCCCGGGCCUU